rnacentral:rRNA from 1 species
ACUCAAAGGAAUUGACGGGGGCCCGCACAAGCGGUGGAGCAUGUGGUUUAAUUCGACGCAACGCGAAGAACCUUACCAAGGCUUGACAUCCCUCUGCCCGGACUUUAAUCGGUCCUUUUCUUCGGAACAGAGGAGACAGGUGGUGCAUGGUUGUCGUCAGCUCGUGUCGUGAGAUGUUGGGUUAAGUCCCGCAACGAGCGCAACCCUUGCAUCUAGUUGCCAUCAUUAAGUUGGGCACUCUAGAAGGACUGCCGGUGACAAACCGGAGGAAGGUGGGGAUGACGUCAAAUCAUCAUGCCCCUUAUGUCUUGGGCUACACACGUGCUACAAUGGGCAGUACAGAGGGUCGCGAGACCGCGAGGUUUAGCCAAUCCCAUAAAGCUGCUCUCAGUUCGGAUUGCAGGCUGCAACUCGCCUGCAUGAAGUCGGAAUCGCUAGUAAUCGCAGGUCAGCAUACUGCGGUGAAUACGUUCCCGGGCCUUGUACACACCGCCCGU